UACGUAGGGUCCGAGCGUUGUCCGGAAUUACUGGGCGUAAAGCGCGCGCAGGCGGCCCGCGAGGUGUCACGUGAAAGCCCCGGGCUCAACCCGGGAGGGUCGUGGCGAACCGGCGGGCUUGAGGCCGGUAGAGGUGGGUGGAACUCCUGGUGGAGUGGUGAAAUGCGUAGAGAUCAGGAAGAACACCCGUGGCGAAGGCGGCCCACUGGGCCGGUACUGACGCUGAGGCGCGAAGGCGUGGGGAGCGAACGGG
rnacentral:rRNA from 1 species